AUUCCAGCUCCAAUAGCGUAUAUUAAAGUUGUUGCGGUUAAAAAGCUCGUAGUUGGAUUUCUGCCGAGGAUGACCGGUCCGCCCUGUGGGUGUGCAUCUGGCUCAGCCUUGGCAUCUUCCUGAAGAACGUAGCUGCACUUGACUGUGUGGUGCGGUAUUUAGGACAUUUACUUUGAGGAAAUUAGAGUGUUUCAAGCAAGCGCACGCUUUGAAUACAUUAGCAUGGAAUAAUAAGAUAGGACCUCGGUUCUAUUUUGUUGGUUUCUAGAGCUGAGGUAAUGAUUGAUAGGGAUAGUUGGGGGUGCUAGUAUUGGCCGGCCAGAGGUGAAAUUCUUGGAUUCGGUCAAGACUAACUUAUGCGAAAGCAUUCACCAAGGAUGUCUUCAUCA
rnacentral:rRNA from 1 species